AUGCCGUAGUGUGGGCAUGCUUGAAUGUACUCCUGGAGACAUUCCCAUACUUCCGGAAUGCUCUCAUCUGGCAAUUAUUGAAUUCCAGUAAUCCUGUUCCGGAGGGC